GACUGCGUGCUUGAGUGGCUAAAAGGUUAGUCUUGAAAACUAAUGGGCUAGUCCCUCGCAGGUUCGAAUCCUGUCGCAGUCG
rnacentral:tRNA from 1 species